rnacentral:rRNA from 1 species
AUUGAACGCUGGCGGCAUGCUUUACACAUGCAAGUCGAACGGUAACAGGCCGCAAGGUGCUGACGAGUGGCGAACGGGUGAGUAAUGCAUCGGAACGUGCCCAGUCGUGGGGGAUAACUACUCGAAAGAGUAGCUAAUACCGCAUACGAUCUAUGGAUGAAAGCGGGGGACCGUAAGGCCUCGCGCGAUUGGAGCGGCCGAUGUCAGAUUAGGUAGUUGGUGGGGUAAAGGCUCACCAAGCCAACGAUCUGUAGCUGGUCUGAGAGGACGACCAGCCACACUGGAAGUGAGACACGGCCCAGACUCCUACGGGAGGCAGCAGUGGGGAAUUUUGGACAAUGGGCGCAAGCCUGAUCCAGCAAUGCCGCGUGCAGGAAGAAGGCCUUCGGGUUGUAAACUGCUUUUGUACGGAACGAAACGGCUCUGGUUAAUACCCGGGGCUAAUGACGGUACCGUAAGAAUAAGCACCGGCUAACUACGUG